rnacentral:rRNA from 1 species
CAGUAGCCGCGGGAAUACAGAGGGUGCGAGCGUUAAUCGGAUUUACUGGGCGUAAAGCGUGCGUAGGCGGCUUUUUAAGUCGGAUGUGAAAUCCCUGAGCUUAACUUAGGAAUUGCAUUCGAUACUGGGAAGCUAGAGUAUGGGAGAGGAUGGUAGAAUUCCAGGUGUAGCGGUGAAAUGCGUAGAGAUCUGGAGGAAUACCGAUGGCGAAGGCAGCCAUCUGGCCUAAUACUGACGCUGAGGUACGAAAGCGUGGGGAGCAAACAGGAUUAGAUACCCCUGUAGUCCCUGUCUCUUAUAC